rnacentral:piRNA from 1 species
UCCAUAUGCUGAACGCUGGUCCCCUGG